rnacentral:rRNA from 1 species
ACGAACGCUGGCGGCGUGCUUAACACAUGCAAGUCGAACGGAAAGGCCCCUUUGGGGGUACUCGAGUGGCGAACGGGUGAGUAACACGUGAGUAACCUGCCCUUGACUUCGGGAUAACUUCAGGAAACUGGGGCUAAUACCGGAUAGGAAUCCUUGCUGCAUGGUGGGGGUUGGAAAGCUUCGGCGGUUUUGGAUGGACUCGCGGCUUAUCAGCUUGUUGGUGGGGUAGUGGCUUACCAAGGCUUUGACGGGUAGCCGGCCUGAGAGGGCGACCGGCCACAUUGGGACUGAGAUACGGCCCAGACUCCUACGGGAGGCAGAAGUGGGGAAUAUUGCACAAGGGGCGGAAGCCUGAUGCAGCAACGCCGCGUGCGGGAUGACGGCCUUCGGGUUGUAAACCGCUUUCAGCAGGGGCGAAGCUUGUGGUGACGGUACCUGCAGAAGAAGCACCGGCUAACUACGUG